UACGUAGGGCGCAAGCGUUGUCCGGAAUUAUUGGGCGUAAAGAGCUCGUAGGCGGCUUGUCACGUCGGGUGUGAAAGCCCGGGGCUUAACCCCGGGUCUGCAUUCGAUACGGGCUGGCUAGAGUGUGGUAGGGGAGAUCGGAAUUCCUGGUGUAGCGGUGAAAUGCGCAGAUAUCAGGAGGAACACCGGUGGCGAAGGCGGAUCGCUGGGCCAUUACUGACGCUGAGGAGCGAAAGCGUGGGGAGCGAACAGG
rnacentral:rRNA from 1 species